AAUUUAUACAGUGAAACUGCGAAUGGCUCAUUAAAUCAGUUAUCGUUUAUUUGAUAGUUCCUUUACUACAUGGUAUAACUGUGGUAAUUCUAGAGCUAAUACAUGCUUAAAAUCUCGACCCUUUGGAAGAGAUGUAUUUAUUAGAUAAAAAAUCAAUGUCUUCGGACUCUUUGAUGAUUCAUAAUAACUUUUCGAAUCGCAUGGCCUUGUGCUGGCGAUGGUUCAUUCAAAUUUCUGCCCUAUCAACUUUCGAUGGUAGGAUAGUGGCCUACCAUGGUUUCAACGGGUAACGGGGAAUAAGGGUUCGAUUCCGGAGAGGGAGCCUGAGAAACGGCUACCACAUCCAAGGAAGGCAGCAGGCGCGCAAAUUACCCAAUCCUAAUUCAGGGAGGUAGUGACAAUAAAUAACGAUACAGGGCCCAUUCGGGUCUUGUAAUUGGAAUGAGUACAAUGUAAAUACCUUAACGAGGAACAAUUGGAGGGCAAGUCUGGUGCCAGCAGCCGCGGUAAUUCCAGCUCCAAUAGCGUAUAUUAAAGUUGUUGCAGUUAAAAAGCUCGUAGUUGAACUUUGGGCCCGGUUGGCCGGUCCGAUUUUUUCGUGUACUGGAUUUCCAACGGGGCCUUUCCUUCUGGCUAACCUUGAGUCCUUGUGGCUCUUGGCGAACCAGGACUUUUACUUUGAAAAAAUUAGAGUGUUCAAAGCAGGCGUAUUGCUCGAAUAUAUUAGCAUGGAAUAAUAGAAUAGGACGUUUGGUUCUAUUUUGUUGGUUUCUAGGACCAUCGUAAUGAUUAAUAGGGACGGUCGGGGGCAUCAGUAUUCAAUUGUCAGAGGUGAAAUUCUUGGAUUUAUUGAAGACUAACUACUGCGAAAGCAUUUGCCAAGGACGUUUUCAUUAAUCAAGAACGAAAGUUAGGGGAUCGAAGAUGAUCAGAUACCGUCGUAGUCUUAACCAUAAACUAUGCCGACUAGGGAUCGGGUGGUGUUUUUUUAAUGACCCACUCGGCACCUUACGAGAAAUCAAAGUCUUUGGGUC
rnacentral:rRNA from 1 species